rnacentral:lncRNA from 1 species
AGGCAAAAUCAUUUAUCAAGCUUCCUACGAAGGCUAUAAGAAGAACUGAAAGGGAAAGACGGAAUGAAUUAAUUUCCUUUAUCUCCUCGAGUCGUUAGUUCCAGCAGUCAUUUGUGGAUCACAAUGGAAGGCACGCAGACUGGCGGCAAAUGAGUAUUCAUUAGGACGUACAGAUGGACGGGCACAAACAUUCAUUCACACACAAAUAGACAGACGCUCGGCACACACUCACAGGGAUCGUUCUGCGUGCUCGAGCCUGGGAUAUUGCGGAUUUUACUCCGCUGAAUGAGGCCCAAUGAGAGAUCAAACAGAGCCUCGCUGCACAUCUGGAUCAGAUGAGAGAUUUAUAGAGCCAGCGUCUAGAUACCAGUCAGCCAAAACUGACCCUUGCCACACAGUGAUGAGGACUGGCCUGAUUUGGGCAAGAUCCGCCAUUUCCAUCCUCACAGCUGCCCCCCGACUGCACUAAUCUCCGGCACGGCACACAUGCCUACUUAGAGAAAGGGCACAAACAUAAGCGUGCCUGCAAAGUCACGGAA